GUUGGUUGAAUAAUUUUACGUUUCCACCUCCAUGACCCAGUCACCCAGAAAUCUGGAAAGAGAGAGAGAGAGAGAGAGAGAGAGUAGAAGGCUGAAAAAUGACUAGUAACUUAAUGAUACUGAGCAACAGUGAGUGGCUCCCCAGCAGCACUACUCUUGCAUAUGUACUACCAAUAGAGGUAGUAAAAGUGGAUGAUAGUAAUGAUGCAGGUAUCUACUCCCAUCUCACAGAAGAAGCAGAGCCAAUUAAAACAUUUGACCCACAUUCACAACAUGCACUCCAUGGUGGUCAAUAACACUGCCUUUUCACCACAUUACAUACUUUUGAACUAUCCAGUCAUAAGCAUUUGGUAUAAAAUGAUUAAAUAUUGCUGGCUUAUGCUCUUUAGGCAAAAGGAAAGUAUGAUGAUGGUUGAUAAUAGAUGCAUAAAAACUUAAUAUAUUCAUAGUUGGCAUUCAUCUCGUUACCUAAUCAGUAUAAGCAUUUAUCAGGAUUACUAUCAACAAUCUAUCUAGCAUUCUUUCAGUAUGCUGGUCACAAAUGUUCCACUCCAUGUGAAUCCACAACACCAAAGCAAGGUACUUCUUAGCAUGGAGGAGCAGACUUAUUUACCUUGUCUGUUCCAAAACGGCAACAUGAGAUGAUACACGUAACACAUACAUACCUCACUUACGGCCUUAUGUUGGACUAUUUUCAUAUAAUAUGCAUAAUGUGCAGCGUGAAAUGAUACCUAAAACAAAAUGAUGGAAACAUAUGCACUAAUGGGAAUAAAGAAGGCAGUGAAAAUUAGACAUUAUUUUACUUGCCCUGCAUUUUCAAUCUUAUCAACAAGUCAGAACUAUUAUUGGCAGAUAAAAAUAUUAACAAGAAAAGUACAUACUGUGGACAAAUAUGCUAAUAAUUGUAAAUGGCUGGAUAAUCUUUGCCAUGUUUAGGACAAAUCUAGAAGAGUCCGUUGGUCCAAGUAGGAGUAAAGAUGAUGCUGAGGUGAUGAAAAGCAGCAGCAACAGCAGCAACAGCAAUAAAAAUGUGUGAAAGGGUGACAGAAUUACCAAUCACUUGUUAUCUUUAAAAAACUACUAUCCUCACAGGAAAGAUGAGUUAUAUGACCACUGAAAUUCAUCUUUGCACAAGUAUUCAUGAAUGCUGAAGAAAUUAUCAGGGAAUGGUUUAUGAAAGGUUCCACAACCAAUCAGCCUCUAUUACGACAAUCUUCAUAUUGAAACAAAUUUUUGCACUUCCAGUUACAAGUGAAAACUGUGAUCAUACUGUAUUCUUUAUUUGGAUGCUAAAUUAAUCUUUCAUUUGAAAUAAGGCAAGUUGAACAGUAUUAAUUUAACUAUGGCAAAUCAACAUCACUUAAAGGUGUGUGUGUGUGUGUGUGUGUGUGUGUGUGUGUGUGUGUGUGUGUGUGUGUGUGUGUGUGUGUGUGUGUGUGUGUGUGUGUGUGUGUGUGUGUGUGUGUGUGUGUGUGUGUGUGUGUGUGUGUGUGUGUGUGUGUGUGUGUGUGUGUCAUUUUUAACCACAGCCUAUAAACAUGUACAGUGGAUUCAUGACAAGCUCAAUAAUACAUUCAGUAAACAGUACUUUGUAGACUUAUUUGUUAUUUAUCAAAUCAAAUUCCCUAAACCUGUAACCACAUUCUAUUGGCAAUACAUGCAUCAUUAGUAUCUCUUUCACACUGAAGUACUAUCUCAAGGAGAAACGCAAAUACUACUAGUAAAUAGUAUAUUGAAUUUCACUCCUGCAUUUCAGUAUUGUGUGCUACAUAUCUAUUCUAUCAUGUGAAGAAAUAGUGUUUGAAUAUCUUCAGUAUGAUUCAAUGUACCUUAAAGAAUACUGGUGUGCUGCUUUGUUAAAUCAAGAAUCCACUGUACAGAUUAAUAAUAAAAAAUAAAAAACAAAUUAUAACUAGCAACUACAAAAAGACAUCAGUCAAAAUGGUAACACUGAAAACAUGUUUACAAGAACAGUCAUGGUUGUACCAAUGUUGUUUUCAUAAUUUCAUAACUAUAUAUACAUUUUUUCAUUUGCACUUACCAGUUACCCUUACUUAAUCUGAUAUAGGUAAAACUGAAAGAGCGACACAUUGUUUAGAUAAUAGUGAAUCUGGAGUGACACAUCUGGCAAAAUGACACAGCCCUAUGUUAAUUCAAAGACUCUCCAGAUAAACUAUGGCAGGGUGAGCACUGUUGAGUGCAGCUCGGUAUGAAUUGGUGCUCAAGCUUCCCUGUGUUUCUUUAUACUAUUUACAUUUCAUAAUAAAAGAGUCUGCUUCUUUAAUAUUUCUUUUGAAUUCACUCAACGGUUAAACAAUAAAUUAAUGUACUUUGUACAUUGGGGGAGUUCUUAGGAACAGACAUUAGGUAUAGAUAUAGUUAAUAAAUAAGAUAAAAAAAAUUACAAGAAGCAAACUCCUUGUUAAGUUUUUACAAACGUUUCCCUAACUUUAGAAUGAUAGACUCUUUGUACAUCAAGGAAAAUAUACAUGGAGGAGUUAUGUGGCAUGAGAUAAAACAGCAUUGUUAAUUUUGACAUAUUCAAUUAAUUCACAAAACUAGAGAGAGAGAGAGAGAGAGAGAGAGAGAGAGAGAGAGAGAGAGAGAGAGAGAGAGAGAGAGAGAGAGAGAGAGAGAGAGAGAGAGAGA